rnacentral:rRNA from 2 species
UGAGGGACGAAAGCCAGGGGAGCGAACCGGAUUAGAUACCCGGGUAGUCCUGGCCGUAAACGAUGCCCGCUAGGUCUUGGUGAAGCUUAGGGUUUCACCAGGGCCGCAGGGAAGCCGUUAAGCGGGCCACCUGGGGAGUACGGCCGCAAGGCUGAAACUUAAAGGAAUUGGCGGGGGAGCACCACAAGGGGUGAAGCCUGCGGUUUAAUUGGAGUCAACGCCGGGAACCUUACCAGGGGUGACGGCAGAGUGAUGGUCAGGCUAAAGACCUUACCUGACAAGCCGAGAGGAGGUGCAUGGCCGUCGCCAGCUCGUGCUGUGAAGUGUCCUGUUAAGUCAGGCAACGAGCGAGACCCUCACUGCCAGUUGCUUCUAUGUUCCGAAAGGUACAUAGAGGAAACUGGUGGGACCGCCGCCGAUAAGGCGGAGGAAGGAGGGGGCUACGGCAGGUCAGUAUGCCCCGAAACCCCUGGGCCACACGCGGGCUGCAAUGGUGGGGACAAUGGGAUCCGAUCCCGAAAGGGGGAGGUAAUCCCGAACCCCCACCUCAGUUGGGAUCGAGGGCUGGAACCCGCCCUCGUGAACCUGGAAUCCCUAGUAAUCGCGGGUCACCAUCCCGCGGUGAAUACGUCCCCGCUCCUUGCACACACCGCCCGUUCA